ACUUUAUAUAUCGACACAAAGAACCACAGAAUAUGAACAGCUCAAUCUUGUGCGUUUUUUUUUCAUUGAGCAAUUCUUGAAUACACACGAACCUAGAAGUCUCUUUCUUUUUUCAGGGGCGUCCAUGACGAAUGAAGCUACAUGAGGCCCUUUGCCUCCGUAAUCUGUCUACGUCUCCUUCAUCAUCACUGUAGCUUUCUUCGGCGAACUGUAGAGAGCUAGAGACAAGAAUUGAUUGUUCUAGAGUUUUGGAGUCUCCACUUCCAUGAAUCAGUGAAGACCUGGCUGAUAGAUAAAAACCGUGAAGAUCUCCAAUAGGAACCCGAGCAUAGGAAGUCGUUGAAGUUGGACAUGAGGCAAAAUGACCAAAAGAAGUGUAGCAGUGGGUCACAAUAAGUAUAAGCAGAAGGAUGAGACAAUAAAGGCAGUAAGGACGGGGAGGGAUCACAAUCGAAGAACCAUCAAAAAAAAAAAAAGAGGAAGGGCAAACAAAACGGCCACCGUGGUUGAGAAACACAAAGUGUAUGAGAAUGUUAGCUAGAAGAGUUCCAAUCUAAUAGAUACAUGAAGCAAAGGAUGGUGGUUUUACUAGAAAGUGAUAUGGGGGUAUUCAUGAAUCAUGAUCACAAUACAGAAGGUAAAUUCUUUGUAACUUUUGGAAGCUGUGGGGUUAUCACAAUCGUGUACUGCAAUUUGUUACCUGACCACUGCAGGAUUGGUUUCAUCGCCUUCCAAGUAUUUUUCAUCCUUUUCUCCAAAUAGUUUCCAUAUCAGUUGUUGUAUGUCUUCAAUCCUGUUAUGAGAUUUUUGACUCUAUAUUAUUACAGAUUUUUUAGAUGAAAUAAAGAUCAAAACCUCCCCAAGGUGGAUAGCUUCAGAAGCCUACCUAGCAAUGAUGACUUAGAGGGAGAUUACCAAGAUGACAUGAACUUAAAUGUUAACACAACUAAUAAUGUUAGUCUAGGAGGUUUAAAUGAUUCCAUCAGCGAAUCAGAUUG